rnacentral:snRNA from 1 species
AGCUUUGUGCAGCGACAGUAUCAUAGCUAGUGAGAUUUACCCAAGGUACAAGUAUUGCUAUUUGAAAACUUCCCAAUACCUCACCAUGACGACUUGAAUUAGAGUUGGCAUUGGCAAUUUUUGAUGGUCUCUAUGGAGA